AUAUACUCAUGGGAGAAAGAAAUAUAUAUUAGGUAAAACUGCUUCCUUACAAGUGUGAAUAUUACACGAGGAAAACCAUCCAAAUGGGAUGUAUAAUCUAAAUGGUUUCUUACGGGUGAAACUUAAAUGAAAAGCAUCCAUCAUCAUCCUUACAACUUAACUAAAACAUAAUCGAGGAACAUCGUGCAACAUGAACAUCAUCCCUAUAACUUAACUAAAACUAAAAGCAGAUCCCUUCAUCAUCAUGAACAGGAACAUCAUCGUCAUCAUUGUAGUAUACUGGCGAGUUGCCACACACCCAUAUAAUCAUCCAUUUAUGUUUUGAAUCUACAAAGAAAAGAACACAAUGAAUUGUUAACACACAAUCCGUUGACAUGAUUCAAGUAGUGAUAGACGCAAGAUAUUAGUCACUUACAAAGGUUACCAUGAAAAAAAUCUGCAUUAUCAAGAGUAUUACAAUUUUAGCGAGAGCAUACCAAAUCAUAAGUUUUGAUAAGUGCCAUAUCGACAUGCACUACCCAUAAUUCAUUACUAAUCCCAGCACCAUCAAGUUCAAAUUUAAGAUCACAACUUACAAUUGUAGCAAGAGCUACAUCUCUGUUAUGAUUUUUUAGUCUCAUUAAAAAAAAUACUUUUGUUCCUCCCUGCUGGAGAAAGUCUAAGUUACCAUUGGCACAAUCAUGUCGAGGAAAAUAAUUAAUAGAAAUGUGACAUAGCAGAAAAGGAUUAGAGGCCAAGACCCGUCGUGUUUGCAUCUUUUCCUCUACUAUAUGGUAUCUUAUGUUGUCUUGUGAGAUACCAUCUUCUAAGUCUUUCAAGGGAUAAGGGAUUAUAAGCCAACUACUCCCUGUGUAUCUAAAUAGUUAUAGUUAGGGAGAACUAGACUAGUUCUUCCCAACUAUAAUUAUUUAGGUAGAGAGGGAGUAACAAUGAGUUAUGUUGUGGCCAUGACACAUGUACCUGCCUGGUAUCUAAAGGACAUACCAAUAUAAAUGGGGAGGUAAUAAUGGAAGUGUAUAAAGAAUGUAAAAUGCUAAAACCAUGCCACAUUCUAAAACAUUCCUUUAGUCAAUGAAAGGAAGCAAGGAAAAAACAAGAAGCCUUUCAGCAUACAACGGCUACAACACAACAUUACACAUGUCAUAUGGUGAAUACAUUCUUCUACUCGUUAAUCUCAUGAUGUACACCAUCCAUGAAAUUCUGUGAAGGCUUUCACUACCAAAAAAGUAGUUUUGGUGAAGAAUACUUAAAAUAAUAAAACUUCAUAUGCUACUUCAAUGUAGAACACAAAUAUAGACAUUUUUAUUCGAGUAGCAAUAUGGUUUGAUCAACUCCAUAAUUCUCGGGCACUUAUUGGAAGAUAUUGAAGCAGUAUGUUUGACCAUUAAUAGAGUAACAAAAUAUUAAUAUAUCAAUACCUAAGACAUAUUAAUCCAAAAGAUAAAUUAAAUUUACUGAGUUAGUACAAAUAUAACAUAUUAGACAUUAAAAAGAAGCUUUAAGACAUAAGAUCCAUCAUAAAUGAGGUAGUACCAACCCAAUGAUUUUGCAUGAAGUGCGGUGAGAACAAUAGGGUGGAUCAACCAUUAAUUCAUCUUUACCACCAACUUCUAAUAAAAUAUCCAGUAUAUAUCCUGAUCAAACUGUAAAUAGCACAUGUGAGCGAUAAAUCAAAGGAAGUGACACUCUUAAGAAAAUGAGAUGAUGAGGCGGGAAAACAAGACUGUAGUGUGUUCGAACAAAUAAUUAGGAUGCCUUGAUGCCUUGUUUGUAAACUAGAAAUACAAAACGUAUAUAAAUAUGGCAACAUAAUCAAUAAUUGGCUGGAAGUUGCAGGCAUGCAAAAAUAAUAUUGAAUGUGGUCAGAUGCACGAUACCAAUAGCUGAAAUUAUAUAGAAACAAUUGACAUUUUGGAAUGGAAAUUCUUUGCAUUUAUUUAAUGUUUUUCCUUUUUUUGCAAUGUAUCCAUACAUGACCUGAUGAUUAAUCACAAACAUGGAACUAUUUAUAAAGUUGCCAUAUGCUACAAACUUAGUUCUAUUUUCCCCAUGGUGUAUAUUCUGCCUUAUAAAGGAAAAGCACAUCAAGAGAAUAAAGGGGUGACACUAUGGAUGUAGGCAAGCAUAGUAUAAAGAGGAAGCAUGGACCUCAGAGAAAGUGUCUAGAAAUUGGCAAACCUGUAGAGAGAACCUUAUAGGUAUAUGUUAUUAAUAAUAGGAGAAGGGGACAUCAAUCAAAUUCCAAAAUCCAAGUGAAUAAAUGGAAACAUCCACGGUUUUGUAUUCUUGGAACACAAACUAGUUCAACUAACUUUAAAAAAUACAAAAGUCUGACACAUUGUAAUAGGUGUAGAAUCAUGUCACUUGGCUAAUUAAGUACUACUCGUCUCAGCGUGUAGAAUUUAACUAACAUGUCACUUGACUGAAUAAGUACUACUCGUCUCAGCAUAGUUUUAUAAGAUUUUUUCUCUUCUACUAUAUUUAGGGAGUACACAGUAAACAUUCCUGUUCAUAGAUCAUAAGUAAAACACAAGAUCUUCCUGCUUAAUUAUUUUUUUGAUAUGACAUGCAGCUCACAUAAACAUCUUCCUAGAUGCAAAGCAUAGCUUGUGGUACAUGUACUGAGAGUUUUCUGACAAGCAACAAUAAUUGAUCAGCAGAUUACCUUCCUUGCGCUCUUCAACUCCAGUUGUAGUGGGGAGAAAGCCUUAUGCAGCUCUGUGUGCUAAUUUCACCAGAUGCUGAUGGAUGAUCAUGCAGAGAACUAUGGAUCAGAAGCCCUCAGGUCCAACAAGUACUCGACCUUGCCAUGCACUGCACUUAUGUCCUUCUCCCCCAGCGUCGUAGCAGCCUACCCGACCGAGCUGCGUAAAGGUGUCAAGCUGCUGCUCAGUUUGUAGUAGUAGAAAACAUAGAGAGAAAGAUGGUCUUUUAAGCGGAUGUAAAUAUGUAAAAAAUAGUUACUAAACUGUGCUUUAAAUAAAAUAGAGGGAGAAUGUUUUGAGAUCCUGUCCAUUGCAACUUAUUUCGUGAUUGAGUGAUUACAUUUCUCCGCACCGAGUGGACGUAAUUUGAUACUUUAACCUUCUCUGAAAUAUGAUAAUCGGGCUUACAACAUAAGCAAGUGGCACCAUAAGCACAAAGUGGAAUUUUGAAUCAUCAACAUCAACUAAGAUACUAAGACAACAAGCCUUAUUAUACAAUCAGUCAAUCACAUAAUCCACGAAUGCAAAAUCAAGUUUUAGUUCCAUCGGCUGGUGACAAUCUCCUAAGCCAUAACUAGAAUAAAUUCAAUCAGAACAAGAGGCUUUAGGUCCCCUCCACACCAACUAGCUGUAAUUCAGUUUGUCGGUCAUUAUCAGGGACUGGCAGGUCAUAAGUUGCAAUUCCAAAGUAGAUUCAAGUGAAGUAGAGCUUGAUGCGGAAAACAAAAAUUGGGAGAUGAGAAGUGUCCCGACUCACCGUGGAGGCGCGAUCGCGAGGAUGGUGGUAGCUGCAGCUCUCCUCCUAGUCGCGAGCCCCCGAGCGGAGGUAGUAGACGUGGUUGGUCGUAGGAAAGCGAUGAAAAAGGGCAGCGCGUUGGGAUGCAGGAUCUCAGGGGAUUUGCGACGAGGGAUGACACAUCGGGAUCGAGGGUCACAAGGGAGUCGUGACGAGGGACGGCGCCGCCAAGGUGGAGGGUCGCAGGGGAAUAGUGAUGGGCGGCCUGCCAGGACGGAGGAUCUCCGACGAGUGGUGAGAGGCGUGCUCCGGUAUGCUGGCAGGUUGAGGGGCGGCGGCUAGCGUGGGAGCCUAUAGGCUCGAGAGGAAUAGGAGGAGGUUGUAGACAAGCACGAUCUAGGUUAAUUGUGAUAACCAACUUGGGC
rnacentral:lncRNA from 1 species